GUGAGGUAGAGCAAAUCACAAAACUCGGCCUCAGUUCAGAUUGCAGGCUGCAACUCGCCUGCAUGAAGUUGGAAUUGCUAGUAAUCGCGAAUCAGAAUGUCGCGGUGAAUACGUUCCCGGGCCUUGUACACACCGCCCGUCACACCAUGAGAGUCGAUAACACCCGAAGCCUGUGAGCUAACCGUAAGGAGGCAGCAGUCGAAGGUGGGGUUGAUGAUUGGGGUGAAGUCGUAACAAGGUAGC
rnacentral:rRNA from 1 species